UACGUAGGGGGCUAGCGUUGCUCAGAAUCACUGGGCGUAAAGCGCACGUAGGCGGAUUGCUAAGUCAGGGGUGAAAUCCUGGAGCUCAACUCCAGAACUGCCUUUGAUACUGGCGACCUUGAGUCCGGGAGAGGUGAGUGGAACUGCGAGUGUAGAGGUGAAAUUCGUAGAUAUUCGCAAGACCACCAGUGGCGAAGGCGGCUCACUGGCCCGGUACUGACGUUGAGGUGCGAAAGCGUGGGGAGCAAGCAGG
rnacentral:rRNA from 1 species